rnacentral:rRNA from 1 species
AUUGAACGCUGGCGGCAUGCCUUACACAUGCAAGUCGAACGGCAGCACGGGAGCAAUCCUGGUGGCGAGUGGCGAACGGGUGAGUAAUAUAUCGGAACGUGCCCGGUCGUGGGGGAUAACGUAGCGAAAGCUACGCUAAUACCGCAUACGAUCUACGGAUGAAAGCGGGGGAUCGCAAGACCUCGCGCGAUUGGAGCGGCCGAUAUCAGAUUAGGUAGUUGGUGAGGUAAAGGCUCACCAAGCCGACGAUCUGUAGCUGGUCUGAGAGGACGACCAGCCACACUGGGACUGAGACACGGCCCAGACUCCUACGGGAGGCAGCAGUGGGGAAUUUUGGACAAUGGGCGCAAGCCUGAUCCAGCCAUGCCGCGUGCAGGAUGACGGUCCUAUGGAUUGUAAACUGCUUUUAUACAGGAAGAAACACUCCGACGUGUCGGAGCUUGACGGUACUGUAAGAAUAAGGAUCGGCUAACUCCGUG